UAUUGUUUCAGCUCAUUCUUGUUAGGUUUGAUUUUUAAUAUACUACCUUCAUUAGGUCAUCUUAAAACAUUUAGUGGCCAUGAACUACCCCUUCACUUUUCCUUUACUCCUCGCAGUGCCAUAACAAGACACGAUAAUUUUUUUUUUUUGGGGGGGGGGUUGCAUGUUCAUAUAUAUGUGUUCUGCCAGACGAAUAAGACUUCUUUUGAAAUUGAUUGCUUUUAUGGUAUGGUAUGUUAACAUAUCAAUAUGCACCCCCCCCCCCCAAUUAUUGCAUCUUGUUACAGCCCGGACUCCGCCUAAUCACAAUGCAAAACAAUUUUGAAAUUAAAAGGAUGAUGAAUCAUCUGGUUUUAAAAUUAUGUAUUACAACGUUGAAAGUUAUUUAUUGCUAUGUCUAUUGUAAAUACAAAAAUCUUCUAGUUAUGCCUAAAAUACCAAUUGUAAGAAUUGUGUAAAUAAGAGUAAAGUAUCUAUUAUGUGAGAGAUAUAGAAAUAUAUUUAUCUUCAUUUGAAGCAAUUGAAGGUAUUCCUUUCUUGUAACCAAUAAGUGUGUUUUCAUACAAGAAAUUUUCAUAUUAUGACUUUAAGAAGGACAAAAUUGCAGGCUUGCAUUGAUCUGCAGUCAACUGCUCCAACAAUAAAUUACGGGACAAAUCCCUAAGCUUUUUUCGAUUUCCCUUGAAUGCU